rnacentral:tRNA from 1 species
GGGGAUUUGGCUUAGUGGUAGAGCGCUUGCCUAGCAAGCACAAGGCCCUGGGUUCGGUCCCCAGCUCA